rfam:Spirochaetes bacterium DG_61 WOR1_52_54_763, whole genome shotgun sequence.
CGGGCUGUGGCGCAGUUGGUUAGCGCACAUGACUGGGGGUCAUGGGGUCGCCAGUUCAAGUCUGGCCAGCCCGA